UAAAUGUAUACUCUGAAAGGUCCAGAAGACGUGUGGUUAUAUUACUGGACACUCGAAAUUGAACGGGAGAAAGCACGUUUUAAACCACUUAGUGUACAGAUCAUGUGGAAGUUUUGGAAAGACGUGAGAAUGCUACAGAACCUGUCACACACCACUCAUUAAACACUCAAUUAGAUCUGUGCUGCAACACUACACCUGUAAACUGAUGUCAUUGAAAUGUGAAUUCCUGCAGACUGCACCGGUUAUAUCACCGCUUCACCAGCUGCCCCUCGCUGACCUAAUCCGUCCUGACAUUUCCCCCAAAAGCUGUCUGAAACCCCGACCGUGGACUCUUCCAGAACAGUGUUUUUGGCUGUAAAACAGGAGCAUCGAGGACUAAUCUUCAGUGUAAUUAGCUUCUAUUGAUCCCAGCGAUUGGGCUGCAUUCAAACCGCGUUAGUGUCCCCCAGCUCUUCACAGUUGAGGUGCUCCACCAAUAUCCUCUACUAAUUAAAGUCAACGUGAAAUAGCAUUCACAGCCCAUUGUAAUUCACUAAUGUGAAAUAAACAGGAUGUGCAACAAGAAUAAAUGUAUGGAGUGCAUUGGUUUUAUUCAUCAGGAUUCAACUGGAUCAUAUAAAUUGGGCGUACAAGAAUCAAA